CCUACGGGUGGCAGCAGUGGGGAAUAUUGCGCAAUGGGGGAAACCCUGACGCAGCAACGCAGCGUGAGUGAAGAAGUAUCUCGGUAUGUAAAGCUCUAUCAGCGGGGAAGAAGGAAGACGGUACCCGACUAAGAAGCACCGGCUAAAUACGUGCCAGCAGCCGCGGUAAUACGUAGGGGGGGAGCGUUAUCCGGAUUUACUGGGUGGAAAGGGAGCGGAGACCGCGUCGCUAGUCUGAUGUGAAAGCCCGUGGGUCAACCGCGGAACCGCUUUGGAGACUGCGUGGCUGGAGUGCUGGAGAGGUAAGCGGAAUUCCAGGUGAAGCGGUGAAAUGCGUAGAUAUCAGGAGGAACACCGGUGGCGAAGGCGGCUUACUGGA
rnacentral:rRNA from 1 species